CAAAAACAGACCCUGAAAAACUACACUCAACAAUCAUGUCAUCUGAAACAGGUACAAAGCUCAGGACUGAAAAAUCGAAUUUACCCAGUUGUAAACAUUUGCAUUUUUUUCUUUACAUAACCAGCCUCACUUGAAUUCAAUUUAUUGGGAAAUUACAGUACAAAGUGGGAAGAAUAUUAUAAUGUUCAGUAGUUUGGGCAACAGAAUGUCUGGCUGUAGGAAAAUAUAAAGAACUACAUUCAGUAUUCAACCUACUCCACUGUUUUUAAUGUUGAUGUUUUUAUCCCUUUAGCUGUAGUUCAAGCCCAAAAUGACAUUGACAGCCUAGGAUUCAUUGAAGAGAUGCUGCCAGCUUCAGAGAAGACAGCCUUGCUGUUCAACAUAUCCUACCUGUGUCUGGCCAAAUUUCCCUCUCUGGAGAGAGUUAUCAGAGCCCGUGCUGUCGAGUCUCAGAUGCUCUUCUCCUCUUCUGAGGCUACUAUGUUACAGUGUGUCAGCACCAGUGACAACAUGGUCAAGACACUGCUUCCCAUGCUAAAAGUCGCUGUUGAGAAAGAAAAUGCAGUCGUGGCUAUUAGAUUCCUUGAGAAGGCCCAAAGGUGGAUUCAUGAUAUCAUCAAAGAAGUUGAAAACACAGAAAAGGAAUACAAAAUGCUCAAUAAUAAAGUAGCAAGCGCUACCAGUGAUGUUGUUCAGACCAAAUCCGAAACAGAAGAGAAGACUGAACAGAUGACUAAGGAAGAAGAGAUUCAGAAGGUUUCUGUUGAAGAUUACAAGACCACCCUGAACAACAUUCAGUCAGAACUGAAUAAGAUCAAUGCCAACAUCAAAAAUGCUGAUAAGGCCCUUGAUGAACUGGCUGAAAGUAUUGCAUCAAGAAACUCAAAAUUUGGUAUAGUAACUGUGAUUCCCAUCAUAGGCAAUUUCAUCAACUUUGUUAUGAGGUCAAUCAAUGAUCCUAAAGACAAGCUGGCAGUUGACUCAGCCAAAGAAAAGUUGAAGCGUCUUCAGCAGGAUAAGAAUUGUUUGAGGAAAGAGGAGUGGAAGGUGCAAACAGAGCUGAUGAAGUACCAGAUUAACCUCUCCAGAGCCCAAUUUGAAUUGGGUGUUGUUCCGAAUCCUACCCAUCUUAAUGAGGUUCAAGCCAGCCUGAGCAAGAUCCAGAAGAUUCUUUUGGAUCUCAAAAGCUUCUGGGAAAAGUUUGGAGUGAUGGUGACCAAUCUGCAGCAGAGAACCUUUGUUGGAGAACACCUGACGGACUUUCUAAAGGAUUCAGAAUUUAAGAAGAUCUUCUUGACUUCCUUGGAAGAUGCUGAGAAGGGUUGGCAGACAUUUGGGCGUAGGUGCCACAAAGCCAGGAAGAGUCUUAAUGUCCAGUCCGUGGAUGCCUACAAGUUCCUGGAGACCAACCCAUCCUCUCUCAAUCAGGAAGAAUGGCAGAAACAGUAUGAUACUGUAGCAGCCCGGCUGAAUUCCUUCAACCCUUAUUUGAUCCCGCUGGAAGACACCAAAGAAAACGUUAAGGAGGACAGACAGGCUCUGUAGUCCGAAGAGUAUCAAUUAUCACUGUAACAGGGAUAACAAAACCUGCAUUUCUGGUCAAAAUAUAUAAUUCACAUUCCCUGCUGUUGUGUAAUGUGGAUAUACUGAAUGUAUAAGCUGUCAAACUGUUGUGAGCAUUAAAGCAAUAUAUUGAAUGUAUGUGGCAUAAGCUGAAACUGAAAGUUGCAAGUAGAAAACAGGAAAUCUUAUUUAAGCUGUUGCUUGGAUCGAAGAGCAGACUAAGCCUGUGUGUCAGACAAACAGGAACUAGAUGGGGACAGAUUAAUAACACACACACAUAGUCUGGGGGGGGGGUGAAUCAAGAAUAGACAAGACAGAAAUCACAAGGGUGACAUAUAAGGUGAAGAACAUAAACUGGACGAAUGGCACACAUGCUUGGCUAACUCCGCCGCCUGCUUUCUAGGCGUAUUCGUAGUAUAAAUAGUACUUGUGUUACUGCUGACAUUGUGGGGCGACACUCUGUCUCCAGAAGCUUCUGUAAUAAACGGAUGAUACGGGAUUGGUAAUUGACCUGACUCCUGGUGUGUUCGUCCUCCUUUCCAUCAAACCAACUCAGGGAAUUGUUAGAUUUCAACAGUAACUAGUAACAAUUGAUAUUAAAUAUACAUUAAUAAACAUGUAUCAAUACAUCAAUAUACAUCAAUAAAUACAUCAAUAAACAUGAC
ensembl:lncRNA